rnacentral:snRNA from 1 species
AACACUUCUCGGGUUUUUGGCUAAGUUCAAGUGUAGUAUCUGUUCUUAUCAGUUUAAACUUAACUCCAUUUUCUUCUAGAGAACCAGUAGCAGAAAUUUUGAGUAGUUUGGAGAACUGGCAAAUACCAUCUCUGACUGGAGAUUUUACAGUAUCUUUCCCCUGCCAUGCCCACCA